rnacentral:miRNA from 1 species
UGAUGAUGAUGAUGAUGAUGAUGAUGAUGAAGAUGAAGAUGAUGUUAAUAGAACUACGGCGCGAGUGUGUUGUCCAUACACUAUUGUCAUUAUUAUCAUCAUUGGCAUUACUAUUU